rnacentral:rRNA from 1 species
CGGGGAAUUUUCCGCAAUGGGCGAGAGCCUGACGGAGCAAUGCCGCGUGGAGGUGGAAGGCCUACGGGUCGUCAACUUCUUUUCUCGGAGAAGAAACAAUGACGGUAUCUGAGGAAUAAGCAUCGGCUAACUCUGCGCCAG